UACGUAGGGGGCAAGCGUUGUCCGGAAUUAUUGGGCGUAAAGAGCUUGUAGGCGGUUUGUCGCGUCUGCCGUGAAAAUCCGGGGCUCAACCCCGGACUUGCGGUGGGUACGGGCAGACUAGAGUGUGGUAGGGGAGACUGGAAUUCCUGGUGUAGCGGUGAAAUGCGCAGAUAUCAGGAGGAACACCGGUGGCGAAGGCGGGUCUCUGGGCCGAUACUGACGCUGAGGAGCGAAAGCGUGGGGAGCGAACAGG
rnacentral:rRNA from 1 species